AGGGGAGGACACUCUGGGGGAAUCAGUGUCACAGUACGCUUACCCCUGCGCAGGCGCCGUCGCUCAGAGCGCCGGCCGCCAUUUUGGGUGCGGGCAAGCUGCCCUUUUUCUUGACUUCCUCCGAGUCAUCGAGCUGUGAGGGGGAAAGAAGUACUCUCGCACUCCGCGGCUCCUGAAGCAGCGCUCCGGGAGAGGGACAGGUGCUCCUCAGCCGGCUAACAUCAACGUUCAGCUCAGGACCGAGUUAAGUCUCUUGCUAAGUAAAAAUUGCAAAGGUUUUGAAAUACGGAGCCCUAUCUUCUCCACCAAAAACCUACUGGAGAGCACUUAUCAGCUUGCCCUUUUCGCCCCGAAAAACGACUUUUUCGUUCACCGUCUAAGUCCCUUCCUCUUUCUAAUUUAAGCUGACAGAAGAGGAAGCUGACAUAUUGAAAUAACAAAGGAGAAUUAAAUCAAAUUUAAAAUGGAAAACAAGAGGGAAAGCAGCUGCCGAACUGACAAAUCGUCUUCGAGACCAACAAAAAAAAAAUUGGGGGAUUUUGCUAACGUAUUGAGACGGUGGUCAUUUUUCAUAGAUGCUGCGGAAGACUAUUCGAUGAAACUAAAGAAAUCAAAUCAACUUCCGCGUUUCUUUAACAGCGGUCAUAACAUUUUUCUAUCUUCAGUCUUGGUCAUUUGCAUUUUUACAACCUUUCCCCUUCCUUUGUAAUGUAGAACACCGGCCACUGUAAAAACCAGACCGCCAGGCUGCAAGGAUUAUUGUUAUCGUCCGGGAUGAUGAGCCCGGGGGUCCUAUCCUGCAAUCCUGAGCCCUACCGCGUGCUCAUUCUACUCACUUUUGCCAAACCUGCACCGGCAAUUUGAAUGAUUUAAAAUCGUUCCGGAAUAGCAAAGCUCAUCAGCUACGCAAAGAAACAAGGGAUCGAACCUGUGCCCCCUGCAGAGGAAGCGUGGAGUCUUAACCACUGGACCACCAGGGAAGUCCUCCUUUUGUUUAUUUAUUUAUUUAUUUAUUUAGUUAGUUAGUAGUAUUAUUAUUACGUAUGAUACUCCUUUUAAACCAGCUGGCUUCUCUUUUUCCCUUAAGAUAAAAUUCAAAGAUCAAGAAUUACUCCUCCUACUAACCUUUACUGAUAUCUUCUCUGUACUUGGCCCCCUACUCAAAGUUUUUGCUCCUCUUCUAAGCCCCUGCAGUGCCUCGUGUAUACCCAUGAUAUUGUUCUUAUCAUAAGCAUUGCAAUUUCCAAUUUCUUAAACUAUCUACCCCAUUAAACUCACAGCUUUAAAGGAAAGAACUGUAUUUUUCAUCUCUGUAUCCCUAGUGCCUUGUGUAGUGUUCAUCUAACAGCUAUUGGAUAGAUGAGUAAUUGAAUGAAUGAAAUUGAUGGUAUGAAAUUUAGUAUGUUAAAACAGCUCUGGACAUAAAUAGGCAUCAUUUCAAAGUUUCUCUUUUUUUUUAACCAUUUACAUUCUUGUCAUAAUAGAACAUUGAUAAGGUUCUACUGACAAUAAAAAUAGAGCAAAUUUUAAAGGACUGCUUUUAUAAAAUACCGCUAUAAAUUCUUUAGAUAUUACUUAUAUCCAUAAUCUUAAUGGAUUCCUUUUCAACCUAGUAACUAUUCCCUUUUUAUGAAGUGCCAGAGAAAUUUUCAUUGUUAUUCCAAUGAUUACUUUUAUUCUUUUUGAUAUAAAAAUGAUGAAAGUGUAGGUCUAAAAAAAAAUCCAUUUAGGGAUAUUCCCUAGAGUACCUUAAAUUUUUGAGAGGAAGAGUUGUAUAAGAAAAAUCAUUUUAGAAGCAAAGAGCUGAUAGAUACACAUCAUGGAGCUUCUAACCUUAUGAUUUAGCAAAGCAAACAUGUUCUCAUUUGAGAAGAGCAUAGGGUUAAAGGUGAGUGAAAAUAUUUGCAUGGUCAAAAAUUUAACUGGCGAAUCAAAAUUCUGUGUCAGUUUGUGUCAGUCGAAGUUCCACAGGUGAUGGCAAAAUGCACCAAAAGUUGAGAACUACUAAGACAAGGGACCAUUUCUUUUCUUUUGGCUAUUAGCUUAUUAUUUAACCACUUAACAACAUUAACUGGUAUGUCCACUCUCUCAAUUUGAUCUGCAUUGUCAUCCAUCCUUUGCUUUUUUCCUUCAUUCUUUCUACAUAUUUCCAGAGAAGCCACAUUUUAUUUUUACAAAACAGAGAAAUAUCAGUGGCAAUUAAGAUAAAAUGUUAAUAUCUGCAUAUUCUCAAAAAUGAGUAGGCAUCUGUGAUGAGGAAUCAGCACUUCCAUAAUCAAAGACCCUCAUGUUACAUGUUCUAAAAGUUAAAACAGAGUUCCUUAUUGUCCUACUGACUCUUGUUCUUUGAACAAAUACUGUGACUCCCUUCAUUUUCAAAUGUAUACUCUCAGUUUCUCCUCUCAAAUAACUGUCUGAAGUUUUUUUAAUAGGUGAGUCAUGUGUCCCAUGCUGUCCACCAAUUCUGAGAAUGGAUGGAGAAGGGGUCUCUGUUAUCCCACUUCUAUCCUUCAGGUUGGGCGUUUGCCAGAGAUGGAUAGCCCAUGUUUUCACAGCAGGUGCUUUGUUUGGACCCAUAUUUCAGGUGUCACAAGGCCUUUCCUGUGGUUCACAGAGCAGUUCCUAGAGUAGUGUGGGGACAGGUUGAAUCUUGGGUGGUACUUGGGUAUAAAAGAGAACCUAUAAAAUCAAUGCACUAAGGAACUGGGGUUGGUGGUUCCCAGCCACUGGCUUGUAGCCCUCUCCUCCUUUCUUUUGGCAAUGCAGUUCUUAUAAAUAGCAAAAGCUUGUGUUUAAAUUGGGCCUGUCAAAUUUUCUUGUCCCUACAAUAUAUAUUUGUAAUUUUUGUACCUUUAUGUACAUAAUUAAAAAUUUUAAAAUUAUAAAAAUGCAAAAAACAUCCAGAAAUAUUUUUCAUCAGAUAAUACAUUAUAAUGGAAAUACAGAAAAAGGGGAAGUGUCUCCUACAGUAAUUCCACAAUUCUCCCUCCUUAGCGAUAACCAGUGUUAGCAGCUUGCUAAUAUAUACACACCUGUGGGGGCGAGAUAGGUAGUUAUAGGUUUUUUGACCUAUAUAAACACAAACAUUAAAAAAAUAAAGGUAAGAUAAUAUUAUAAAUACUAUUUUAUGAUCUGUUUUUUUUCCUAUGGAAUCAUGUUGGGUACCUAUUUCCAUGCAAAUAUAUAAAAACCUAUCCUAGCCUCCGAAGCUUCCCCCCUCCGCCACCCACAGUCUCCACCAGUGAAGGGGCUUCUAGUGUGUGGAAACUUUUCCUCCUUCACGGCUCCCUCCCAGAGGUACAGGUCCCAUCCCUGUUCUUUUGUCUCUGUUCUUUCUUUUUUCUUUUGCCCUACCCAGGUAUGUGGGGAUUUUCUUGCGUUUUGGGAAGUCUGAGGUCUUCUGCCAGCAUUCAGUAGGUGUUCUGUAGGAGCUGCUCCACAUGUAGAUGUAUUUUUGAUGUAUUUAUGGGGAGGAAGAUGAUCUCCACGUCUUACUCCUCUGCCAUCUUGAAGGUCCAACCUUCGUGAAUCAGUUUUUAUUAAAUGGAAUCUAUAAAAAAAUCACUUCGAUCUAAAAUAUUUUGUUUAUUCAAUGUUGUAUUUAAAUGCCCUGCUCUUUGCUGAUAAGGAAGCUGAAGUGAAGACCCAAUGAACUAAACCGAAAACCUUUGUUAGCUGACUUACAGGGAUAGUGAUGAAGGUCUCAGAUUAGAAUAAAUGUGUCUGUGCACUGAUAUCCAUCAAGGUACACAUUUCCUCAUUACUUAUAAAGGGAUAAAACUGCCAUCGUUGUCAAAUGGUUUUUCUAAAAAUGUAAACCUGUUACAUCUGUAUGGACAUGAAGGCUUGUGAUAAAGGCUUAGAGAGGCGUGGAAGGUAAUAAAACAAUUGUAGGGGAUGAUGAUGGUUUGUACAUUGCCUGUUAUUAACACAUGGAAAUAUAGACAUGAACUUCCAUUAAAUUCAAAGCAUUUUUCUCCUCCUUUCUUACUGUUCUCCAGGUUUUUCUUCUUUAACACCAUACAGUGUGAUUUCUGGUGUUUGAGGCAGCAAACACCAGCUCUGUUAUCUUCCUUCUGAGUGGUUUAAAAAUGAGUAAAUGAAAGUUCUUCUGACAAUUUAUAAACCUAAAACCCAGUGAGGAGUUUUGUUUUUCAAUAGUGUGAAAAAAAAAAAUCUGAGCUGAGAAACUGACUCUAGAAAGUGGCAAUCACACCACAGGCCUGAUGACUUGCAGAGUAACUGUAAGGACAUCCCUGAAGUAGAUCCUCUCCCUAUGGCAUGGUGUCUCUCUAGCCCUUUCCUUUCUCCUGCCCAUCCUCCUCCCAAACCCACCUCCUCCUAACCUCUCUGAGGGAAAACUGACUCUGUUCUCCACCACCUCCACCUCUAGAUCCACUCAGUGUGUGUAACCCAACCCAGCAAGGUGAGUCUUGGGCUCUCACCAAGCAGACCAUCUGCUGUUCCUCAAGCUUACCCUUGGGGUCUCAAGACAUCUAUCUAUACAUUUUUUGUUUUGUUUUAUUUAUUUUACAAAGAUGGAAUCAUCUGACUCCAGACAUACUUUUGGGCAAAUUUGCUUUUUUUUUUAAUGAUUUAAAUAUUAUUUACUAUUAAGAGUAAAUUUUAUAUUUAAACAAACCACACUGGUUUUAUUUAAUCAAAGUACCUGUAGCAAAUUCCAAUAAUAAAUAUUCAAAAUUAAGAUGUUAAAUAAAGCCUUGACUUUCUUUUUUUUUAAUAAUUUUUUUUCACACACACACACACACACACACACACACACACACACACUAUAUUUUAUUUUUACAAGAGAUAAACAGACUGACACCAAGCAUUGUAAAUGGAUGACCACAACAAAAGCAACAAUGAUUGCAAUUACCAGACACGAAACACACUCAUACUAUGUCAUAAUAUUGACAUUCAGUCCAGUAAUCCUCCACUGUAACAGCUCCUUUACUUUGCAGUGAAAAUUGAUUUGUAUAUUUUUUGCCUCUGAGUCCUUGUGGGAUUUUUUUUUAUUAUUAUUCAAACAGAAAGUCACAAAAAUUAUAAUCAUCAGUUCACUCAGUCCCAUGUAAUUAAUUUUUUUCAUCUUGAUCUUUUGUUAGCACUUUUAUGAAUUCAUCAGUUUUCCAUUAGAGUUCUGAAAACGCUUAUUCAUUCAGUUCAGCAGUAUAGUCAGUUACCAGAAACCUGUACUUGUCAGAGUCUUUUCCAUGAAUUCCUUGAAGAUGAAACCCUUUUAUAGGAACAUUUUUGCAAAAGCAUCAGAAUACAUCCAGAACUGUCUGUAAAUGACAAAAGACUUAAAAAUGACCACGGGUAAAGAUUCAAUGAAAGUUCAUAAUAAUGCAAUUGACAAGGAAAUUUAGUUAUUUCUGAGAUACAAAUUUUAAAGUAAUAACUAGAAUUAUGACUUAUAACAUUAUACUAGAGCAUAUAAGAUUUUUAGAAAUUUCAUGUAAGCGAAUUUGCUUUCUAAGAAAAAACUCAGCAAUAUAUUAUGGACAUUUCCCCCAUCAAUUUACACAGUGCUUUCUCCUUUCUAUACCGGUAUGGUACACCAUAAUAUGCUGCUAUAAUUUUUUUAACCAAUUCCCAUGAUGAUUAGCAUGAAGGUGUCUCUGCUGUGUUUUGCUGUGACAAAUAAUGCCAUAAUUUCUUGGUGGAUUUGUCUGGGGAGUGGGGCAGAAAGUGGAAGGAAAGGGGGUAGUAAUCUGGAGGAUGUCGAAGAGCUGCAAGCCUAGUUUUGGAUGUGAUAGUAAGCACCUCCAGAGUGCAACUGGAUGCCUUGGAAAUGGGGUGAGAGUGAAGGAGGGAGGAAGUGGAGAGGGCAGCAGAGGAGGUGGGACAAUGCCUGGACCCAUGGGCAAGCUCACCCACCCACCCUCUCACUCAUUUUUAGGCAACCAGUGAUUUCUAUCAGUUACCAACAUGGUAUUAGAGAGGCCCAUGUUAACUCAUCUUUUCCCAACCUAAUGCCUUACCAACUAGCUCUUCUAUGCCUUAGUUUGGAAAGGUAGGCUGAGACCAAUCCAUGGAGGGCCUUUACUUCUGCACCAAGGGGUCUACAGCAAUCGGGGGGCUGUAAGUGGACUUACAGUUCUUCAGUUCUCAGGUCAGAAGUUGACUUUGCAAAUACCGAAGUGUUCUUAAGAGAUAAACAGCACAACUAAAGAACAGCCAGCCUUGGGAAAGAACACAAUAUAUGACCUGUCUGGUUGUGCUUGAACUCAGUUGUUUAUCUCCCAGGGGUAGCCCCAUUCUAUUCAUUUAAUUCCACAUUCUUUGUACUCUUUAACUGUCCAUCACUAUGUCCCCAUAGCAGCUUCCCUCCUUAUAGCCCUGCUGGUUCCUUCUUUUUUUGUCUUCCUUUCUUCCUUCCUUCCUUUCUUUUUCUUUCUUUCUUUCUUUUUACCAUCAGUGGAUUCAUAGUAAUUAUAACACAUAUGAUCUGUAUAUACUAAACUACACGUCUAACCGCAAUCUAACACCAGUUCCCAAAUAACAAAAUGCUGCAAAUUCUAAAUUUUGUAGAGUAUUACUGUAGCCUUUAAUUUAAUUAAUUCAAUCUUCUGUGCAGGAAUGACCACAUAGGAGGGCUUUCAUUCCCCUUCCUUCUAUUGUUGUUCACCUUUUGGUUAAAGCAUGGCUCUGCUUCCCAAACCUCCUCCAACCUGCACUCUGUUCUUGGGUUCCCCCUUGGGCAACCUGCCAUGGGGCUUCUGGUUGUCCUGGGGUUUCGCAGGCUGUGUUACUCAGUCUUUGUUCUUAGGACCAAGUAAAGGCAACUCUCUUUGCUGUUUCACACAGGUUGCUAUUUGCUGAAAAGCCUGAGCCCACGGAGAAGCCCUUUAAGGCUUGGAAGAAGGUGCUGUCAUCAUUCAGUACCUUGUUUCUGGCAUCAGUCUCUUAUGUCUCUCCCCCUGACAACCUUUUCCAAUGCCUCUCUGCAGACCUGUCUCCCUCCCUGCCAGGGCUUUCAGCCUUCAUUUCCCCAGGAAAUGAUUUUCUCAGUCUCUCCACAAAAGCCCAGGAGGAAAGGAACUGGCCUUUCGUUCAUAAUGGGCCACAGUGUGAUGAAGGAGUAAAAGUUGUCUGGUGUUGAUAUAAAUGCAUCUUCCCACAAAAAACAGCCGCUGCUGUCACUGGAGCUGGGAGAAAGCUUACUUUGUUUGGAACAAUCAAUGAUAGGGUUAGCAGAAUGUCAGCAUGUCAAGGAGUGACUUAGAGUAUCUAACCAGAUGAGGAAAUGAAGAUCCAUUUAUUUUAGUCAUGGUGUGUAUGAAUGGGUACGUGUGCGUGUAUGUGUGUGUGUGUGUGUGUGUGAGAGAGAGAGAGACAGAGACAGAGACAGAGACAGAGACGGAGAGAGAGAUUUCUUUCCUUUGUAAAGGAGCUGGUUUCUGAAAUGGGGAUGGCUGGUCUCCAAGGGGAUAAUUAGGAUUUUAACAGCUUACUGUGAGUGGAACAUUUCAUUUCUCUAAGUACUGAGAAGUGCAGGCUAAUAGUUAUCCCAGCCAUUAGUUAUUCUGCCAAAGAUUUCUAUCAGACUUAGACAUUCAGAUAGAUGUUCGAACCAGCACUGCGGUCAGCAGAGACCUGUAAAGGCUUUUCUGGAGGAAAUCAAUCUGUACCCAAUGCAUUAUCCAGGCAUGUUUGUUUUUCCGAUUCAUAAGUCAUUUUGUUGUCAGGGUAGCCUUUUUAUUUCUCUUAACUUUAUAUUGAAUUCUUCAAGGCAGGUGUUCCAAAUCCUUUCAGUUUUUUCAAAGAACUUCUGAUCUCCCCCACCCCCAUAGAUGACCUCCAACCUAGUUUACUGAGGGGGUCAAGGCCUCAGCUCUCCUCUCCACUCUCUCAAUUUGAUCUGCAUUGUCAUCCAUCCUUUGCUUUUUUCCUUCAUUCUUUCUACAUAUUUCCAGAGAAGCCACAUCUUAUUUUUGUUCCCAAAGCUAGCCUUUUCUGGAGUUCUUGAUUUACCAGUAACUCCCCAUCUCCACCUCCAUCAACCAUUAUCUCCCUAUUUCUGGCAUCUUCAAGAUCCUGUUCUCUUCUAGCUCAUUGAAAACAUACCCCAAUGUCUUGACUGCAAAAACCUAUAGCAUGACUAUGCUUCCCUAUCAGAAUCCAGGCCCUAGUCAAUUUAUCUGGAACCACAAUUUCUAUUAGAACUGGCCUCUCGUAAGUCAUCAAUAGACAGCACAUCCAACGACCUCAGUCCUUGACACUCCUGACUAUGAGCCAUGCUUAGAAAAGGGGAACAGUGAAGAUUUGAGAGUGAGAGGCACAUAAAUGAGAUUCCGGAAGGGAAGGGCCAUUUUGCAAGCAGUCAUUGAAGAGGUAAAGCUGAGUUGAACACACCAGGCCCUUGGGCUUUGUUCUUUUUCUGGGGUCAGAGGGGGCAGAGUUGGCUCCCAGGCCCUACUGUCAGAGCCAGACAGAAGGUCCUGUCCACCCUGGUGGGCUUGGGUUCAGCACUGCUUGGGCAGAGGAAUGGCCAUGUGGCUUUUGUUUUGGGGAUUUGAACAGACAUCCCAGAGCCCACAGGGAGGUUUCCCCUUACUUUAUGGACUUAGGCAUAUUGCUAAUGCUCACCCCAAGUGAGCUUUAUCUAAUCUAAAGAACCCAAGUUACUCCAAAUCCAACACUAUAUCCAGGAGUGGAAGACAACUUAGAUGUUCUCUCUUUCUUCGGAUUCUUACCACGGAUUCCAUAACACCAUGCUCUUCAUGCCUCUCGCCUUCCUCUCCCACUGGCUCAUCAGUUGCAUGUGCUGUAAAAGUCAAAACACUUUAGGCUCCAACAGGUUGAAACGGCAGAGCCACAAGAUGGAAAUAAGUUGGCCCCUGGAGUCACUUCACGAAGGAUAGAUGCCUGGAAGAAUCACUCUACUCCUGUUGGAUUUUGUGUGAACAAGAAAUAAAUCUUCUGUUAUAUUAAGCCACUGAGCUGUCGGGGUUUACCUAUGACUGUAGCCUGGUCUAUGUAGCUACAAGAGCUUAAAUGCCUGCAGGGGCCUGACCAGGAGGCAACUGAAAUGAAUGAAGUAGCUGAGAGCCUAACAGAGAGCAGGGACUCGGGUGGGGAGGGUACUACCCUGACUCUGGGACUAAGCUUGCCCCAUUACAGGGGAAGGGUUGCUGCUCAGAUCUAGCUCAUUCUCUUAUGGGAUACUUUGGAGCCAGCGUUGCCAGAUCCUAACUGAAUAUUUUCUCAAGAAAAGCUGGGAAUCUGGAUGUUGAUGUGAAAUCUCCCAACUUUUUUUUUUUUUUUUUUCUGUACGCGGGCCUCUCACUGUUGUGGCCUCUCCCGUUGCGGAGCACAGGCUCCAGACGCGCAGAUUCAGUGGCCAUGGCUCACGGGCCCAGCCGCUCCGCGGCAUGUGGGAUCUUCCCGGACCAGGGCACGAACCCGCGUCCCCUGCAUUGGCAGGCGGACUCUCAACCACUGCGCCCCAAAAUCUGGGGGUUUUCGGAAGCCCCAAAAUCUCCCAACUUUUUAAAUGCUGGCAGUUCAUAUGGAUUAAAAAACCAAAACACAGACAUCUUUGCUGUUUCCUAAAUGUCUUAGGUAUGUUUUUGCACUUGCUGGCCCUUCUGCCUGGAAUGUUCUUCCUCUAGGCACCUGCAAGGCUUGUUUCUUCUUCUCCCAUGCCUUUGCCCAAAUGUCACCCUCUCGGCUUUUCCCAACCACCCUCUUUAAGACCACAGCACACUCUCCCUCCCACCUUAUACUGUCUCCUCCUUCCCUGUUUUUCUCUUCUCCAUACUAUUUACUACCUUCUAAAUAGAUAAUUUAAAAAACUUAUUGAUUGAUCUGCACAUUUCUACCAUUAUGAUCAAAGUAUAUGAAGGCAAGGAUUUUUCUGUCUUGUUCACUUUUGUAUGUCAAGUGCCUAGAAUAGUACCUGGGACAUAGAAAAUGCUCAACAUUUAUUUGUUAAGUAAAUGAAUUUUUAAAAACAGCCAGUAUGUGGGUCAGAUGAUGCAUAGCUGGAGAUCUGAUUUAGUUCAUGGGUCAUGAGUUUACAACUUCUGUUUUAGACCCUUACUGAGAAGUCCUUGGAGAAAAGUGCCAUUUAGAGCUGCAAGCAGUUUCCCACCUCCCACAAAGUAGAUGUUUGAUUCAUUUUGUUCUGGGAAAUAAAACACAAGGAGUUUCAGGAAAAGUCUUAUAAAUUCCAGGGAGUCCCAUGCCUGCCUGUAUUUUCACAGAAUACUAUUUCUCAUCUUGUCUCUGCUCAAAAUCCUAGAAUUGUUCACAGCCAAAUUUCUGUCUCGGUCCUGGUGUGGGGACGAGUCGUGGUUCCCAUAGUUACACCCGCCAAUACGUUCCCUUUUGCUUAUUGAAUUGGUUUGAGUUGGGUUUCUGUCACUGUGAAUGAGAGUCCUGACAAAUUUAAUGUGACUUUGGGCGAGCUGUUUCAUGUUUCUGAGUCUCAGCUUCCUCACUUAUAAAAAGGAUGGGGUCAGAUUAGAUAAGCAGUAGAGCCCUUUCCAGGAUUUUAACAUUUCAGAAUUCUAACACAUUUAAGGUCACUGAUCUGUGGAGCCCAAACAUUUUUGACUGUGGGCAAACUUGGUUCCCUGGAUCCACAUGUCACUCUUGGCCCCCAUUACCAGCAGCCCCUCUGACUGUCUGUUGCUCCCACCUCCUUUGGGGGGUUGGUUUUUCUGGUCACAUGUUCAGGACUUGCUCCUGUUGGUAGAGUCACAUGCAUUGUCCUUCUAGUAUCUCCAGAUAUGUCCUCCAACAUGAUCCUUGUGGACACAUUUUUCUUCUUCCUGACCCCAGCUCUUAUUUGUCUUUUCCUCUUUCUUGUCCCAUGCCUCACUAAAGUCAUAUUUACUUAAUCUGCAGCAUUCAGACAUUUUUAGAUCUUUCAUGCCCUAUUGUGUGUCUAGACUGUUCUCCCUUUUACUGCCUCCUUCCAUGCUCCUCUGGGAUGGGUAGGAAGCUUACUUUAUCAACUCAGGUUAGAAAGCUACAUUAUUUUCUUUAAAUCAUCAUAGAGUCUGCCUCUGAGUCCCCAUUUGGCAGGGCUGGAGAGAAAUUCAGUCUUCGUCAUUAUUAGGGAUACCUCCCUUCAUUCUAGAGUCAGGCAAAAGUCUUGGGGCUCUUAUACAGAGCAAAACAUUUGGAGGGGUCCCCCCAGUUCAGGGCAAGUUGGCUACUGUGGAUAUGCUCUUUUCCUAGCCCACAUGGCAACCUGGUAUCUGGUAGCUGCUGGACCACACUUGGGCAUGAAAAUGAUAAUAACAAUAACAGCAACAACAAUGUUUAUGGAAUGUUACUAAAGUGCCAGGGACUCAGUAGUGCUUUACAAAAAUAAUUUCAUAUGAGCCAACUGCUCUUUGGCCUAGAACAUACUUUUCCCAGAUAACUCACAGUUCUCCCUCAUCUCCUUUAAGUCUUUGCCAAAUAUUAUGUUCUCAGUGAGGCCUAUCCUGACCACCUGCCUCUGUGCCUCAUCCCCUACACUCGCCAUCCCUUUUCCCUGCUCUACUUUUGUUCCCAUAGCACAUUCUAGGCUAUAUGAUUUACAUACUAAUAGUGUUUUCUGUCUGCCUCCCCCCAGUAGAAUGUAAGCUCUAAAAGGGUAGGAUCUUUAUUUGUUUACUUCUAUCUCUCAAGCCCCUAGAACAGUACCUAGCAUAUAGUUCAAUAAAUGCUUUGGAAUAUGUGAUUUUAAUUUUCAUGGAUGAGGAAACUGAGGCACAUAAAGGGAAGCAGCUAUCCCAUGGCACAUAGCCAGCCAGUGGUAGAGCUUGAGUUUAAGCCCAGGCCACCUGAUUUCUUUUAACCACUUUGUGUGAAAUGGGUACCCCCAGACCCCCAUCUAGCCUCCUGAGGUGCAUCACUCCUCCCAGAGGCCCUGCUGUAUCCCUGGGGCAUUAAGAGAGUACAGUGUGGGUCCCAAUCCUCAAUGAACCCAUGAAUCUCCCUCCUCCUUCUGCUCACCCCCCAUUCCCUUCCCUAAACACUGCCCACUUCCAGAGUAAUAGAAUAUCCUCAAGGAGAUUAAAACUUUCAUUUAGGCCAGGAAAAGAGUUUAUCUUCUGGGAACACCACCUUUCCACUUAGCAAGUGCUCUUGAGGCUAAGAAAUGUAAGGAUUGGCCACUUUCUUGGAAUGAGGAGGUGGGGUAUCCAGAAGACAAAACAGAAUUAGCUUUGAGUGUGAGUGAGUGUGUUUGUAAUGAACGUGCCUUUUAUACCCUGAGCUCCCUUUCCCACACCACUGCAAGAUCGUCUCUUUUCUUCCUUUAAUUCCAGUUCCCAAGUCCAGCCAUGCUACAAAUACCUGCUGAAGCCCCUCUGAAUGGAACAGGCUUGUGCAAAGCCCACCUCCCAAGAGGGCUGGAGGGAGUGGAGCUCUCAUGGCAAAUGUGAAAAAGGAUUGUCUUCCUAUUACUGGAGGAUUUCCCCCAGUGUUUCCUCAAUAAUUUCAGCUGCAGCAUUCAUUUAAAGCCUCCUGCAAAAAUGACUCCUCCACAUUUGAAAACCAAGGCUUGUGAACAUUGUGAGGAGAGAGAGGCAGAGCACCCCCUUCAUUCCAGCCCCCCAAAAAGACCCAGGCGCUCAUCUGCAGAGACAUCUGUGCCCAAGGACCAGGCUGAGGGGGACGCGUUUUCAUCCUUGAAUGUUUCCUGUCUUUCUAGUGACUUCCUAUCUCUCUGUGAUUGACAAGUAGCUUUAGAUGCUGGAGACUGACCAAAACCAAAUCCUGUGGUGAUCCUUUCACAGCUGGGCCCUUCCUGUUCCAUCUCGGAGUGGCAAGCAGGACCAGUGUGAUCAAAAAGGAGAAGGCUGGGCUUCCCUGGUGGCGCAGUGGUUGAGAGUCCGCCUGCCAAUGCAGGGGACGCGGUUCGUGCCCUGGCCCGGGAAGAUCCCACAUGCCGCGGAGCGGCUGGGCACGUGAGCCAUGGCCGCUGAACCUGCGCGUCCGGAGCCUGUGCUCCGCAACGGGAGAGGCCACAACAGUGAGAGGCCCGCGUACCGCAAAAAAAAAAAAAAAAAAAAAAAGGAGAAGGCUGAAUGGAACAUGGCUCAAAGGAAGAAAAGGGAAGGGGAGGGGCCUCUGUUCCGAGGGCCCAGAGCUCCGAGUCCUCCAGGUACAGGCAUGGGAGAGUCAGACCCACAGGAGAGGCUGGGCAGAGCCCCCAAACCCGGAGCAGGUGGAGCCCAGAGAAGAGUCUGCAAAUCUUCCAGCCCCAACUCCAGAGUCUCCUGGUGACUUUCGGGGGGCAGCAUCCACAUCACCUCCCACCAGCCACUCCGUGGGCUGAGAAGACAGCGCCUCCACCAGAGGGCCUGGGCUCCCUUCCGACGCAUCUGCGAACAGGGCGUGGGCUCUGGCCAAAGCCCCAAACCAGAAGGUGGAAACUUUUGCUGAGCACUGGGAGAGGCGGGGAGGUGUUGGUGUUUUAGAAACCAAACCUAUGUCCUUAGAAACACCGCAGAAGGGCUCGGCAGAGCAGCCAGGAGUUGGAUGGUGCUGCAGUGAAUCACAGAAACUCCAGGGAAGAAGAGGCCAUCAGAGAGGGGAGGCAGGCUCUUUUUUUUUGUGGUAUGCGGGCCUCUCACUGCCGUGGCCUGCCCCGCCGCGGAGCAAAGGCUCCGCACGCGCAGGUCCAGCGGCCAUGGCCCACGGGCCCAGCCGCCCCGCGGCAUGUGAGACCCUCCCAGACCGGGCACGAACCCGCGUCCCCCGCAUCGGCAGGCGGACUACCAACCACUGCGCCACCAGGGAAGCCCGAGGCAGGCUCUUUUGAAGUCUCAAAAUCUUUAUUAAAUAAAGGAUCCAAGAGGCCUUGAUCAUAGAGCAAAGUUUAAUAACGUUAUAUAUAAUAAAGGAAAAUGAAGCAACAAUAGCUAUUGUUAGUUAAAAAUGACCUAAGUGACGUAUAAUCUUUGAAUUUACAAAGAUAGCACAACUUAUGCAAUAAAUCAUAUUUGCAGUUAGUCUUUUUUUCAGUAGCAACAAUAAGAUGAUUUUACAGGGGUAGAGUUGGGGUUGCAGUUUGUGAGACUUGUCAUAACAUUUCUCAGCUCUCUUUCCAAUUUUUGCUCUUCCUAUACCUUUUUUUUUUUUUUUUUUUGUCAUUUAGUUGACCACAGUCACAUUGUCUGCUUUCUCUUCCAUUUUUGAAAACAUAUAAAACUUCCAAGUGAUACGGGAACUUCAUUUGGAAGUUGAAUAAGUGAAAAGAAUUAAAUUCAGAAAGUUUCCUUAAACCUAAAAACAUGGAAAACUUCAGCAAUGUUACGAAAAUGACCAAAAUGCCCCAAUGACCCGAGGAAUAAGCGAGCAUCCAAGUUCUUCCCCAGCACAUCGGAACCCUUCUCCAGAGGUGGUCUCAUCCACUGGUUUGCCCAGCGCAGCAUGCUGCACCGCAAGGGGAAAGAAACAGAAGAAAAGUCACAGUUCAGAGAGAUCAACACACUUUUGGAAUUUGGAAAGCUGAUGUAUUUUUGCAGGAAUUGUCAAAUUUUUCUGUAAAGGUCUGGAUAGUAAAUGGUUCAGGCAUUGUGGGUUACUGUGGGCUCCGUCAAAAUUGUUCAACGCUGCCAUUAUCACAGGAACGCCGCCAAAGACAAUAUGGGCAUGGCUGUGUUCCAAUAAAACUUUAUUUACAAAAACAGGCAUGGGUUGGCUUUAACCCACAGGCCGUUUGCCAGUCUCUGGAUUAUUGGUUCCAUGGCAGCAGGCCAGAGACAACUCCAAACAGGAGUUGGGGAAGAAGGGCUGAACAAUGGAGUCAGGGACUGCUAUGUUCACUAGCAUUUCCUUUUCCUUAUGGACAUGUAGGUGGCCUAUAUUUUCCCAGCCUCUCUCAUAGUUAGGUGGGGCUACGUGACUGAGUUCUGAAUGCUAGUGGCAUAUGAACGGAAAUAAAGUCUGCCAUUUUCAGGCCUGGAUUCUUAACAACA